GCGCAAGCGUUGUCCGGGAUUACUGGGCGUAAAGCGCGCGUAGGCGGCUUUGCAAGUCGGGUGUGAAAUCCCCAGGCUUAACCUGGGAACUGCAUUCGAGACUGCAUUGCUAGAGUAUGGGAGAGGGAAGUGGAAUUUCCGGUGUAGCGGUGAAAUGCGUAGAUAUCGGAAGGAACAUCAGUGGCGAAAGCGACUUCCUGGACCAAUACUGACGCUCAUGUGCGAAAGCGUGGGGAGCAAACAGG
rnacentral:rRNA from 1 species